AGGUAUCUACAUGCCAAAUAUGAAAGAGAACGGUAAAGUAUUGAAGGUGCUAUGAGAAACUGUAACAAAAGUCUAUUAUUAGCCUUGGUGACCUUGACCCCAGUGACCUCAAACGUCAUCAAAAGGUAGAGGUCCAUGCAAGGUAUCUACAUGCCAAAUAUGAAAGAGAUCGGUAAAGUAUUGAAGGUGCUAUGAGAAACU